rnacentral:rRNA from 1 species
UGGCGAACGGGUGAGUAACGCGUGAGGAACCUGCCUCAAAGAGGGGGACAACAGUUGGAAACGACUGCUAAUACCGCAUAAGCCCACGACCCGGCAUCGGGAAGAGGGAAAAGGAGCAAUCCGCUUUGAGAUGGCCUCGCGUCCGAUUAGCUAGUUGGUGAGGUAACGACCCACCAAGGCGACGAUCGGUAGCCGGACUGAGAGGUUGAACGGCCACAUUGGGACUGAGACACGGCCCAG